UGGCCCUCAUCGCACCAUUUUCUAAUGGAAUUAUUAGUAGUACAUUAAAAGUUAUUCAUUUUUGAAUGCUUAUUUUGCACCCAAAGUGACUAUAAUUGUUGAGUUUGGAACUAAUUUCUCCCCUACCUGGUGUCAGCUUUCAGACAUCCCCUUCUGUCAACUCUAACAGCACCCCAGGCUUCUAUCUGCUAGGGCACCUACUACGUUGGCUUGCCAUCAUUUGUAAUCCAUCUGUGUAAACACAGGAACUGUGUCUAUCUAGGCUGUAAGUCCCCAGGGCUCAGCACAGGGCUGGCAUCCCAGUAAGAGGCUAUCAGUGCCAAUGGAAGAAGGUGCCCCAUGCUGUAUUACUGUUGUUUUCUGGGAUAGAGGAGUCUUUCCUCUAGGAUGGAGAGCAGAGCAGUGAAGAAGCAAGCAGUCCCUUACAUCAUCUGGCUGACUGUCUAAUUUGGAGUAGACAUUGAAGUCAUCAUUAAUGUCAAGAGUGAAUUAGAUUUUUCAUUAUAUGUUGAAGAACGCAUUGAGUGGUAUGGGAGGAUGGACGGCUUAAUGAAUGUAGGAAAUCAGGCAAAACCUUGCCAAAGAAAUGACAUUCAAGGAGACAUCAAGGGUGACUCUGCAACCCUGUCUUGCUUUCCCUGCCCCAACUGCAGACCAGUCUUAGCACCCAGUUCUGCUUGAAUGAAUUCAUUCAGAAAACGUUGACAAACACCUGUGUCAGGGCCUCUGCUGUUGGGUCUGGGGCCACAGGGUUGGGUAAGAGCCAAUAUAUGAGCUCAGAUCAUAGCUCUAUUGAGCUGGUUGUUACAGGAGGUGGUCAAGACUUUGCUUGGGAUCUGCCCAGCCCACCUUUCUGGCUUUGUCUCCUGCUCCUGCCCCUCUGGACUGCUGGCCUGUCCCCAAGUGAACACACUUGCUCUUUCACACACAGACCCAUGGAGACCACUCCCUAUCAUACUCACUGGCACUUCUACCCAGAAUUCACCUGAGCCACCCUCUUUCCUUUGGGCUUUCAAGGCCCAGCUAAAGUAUUAGCUCCUCUGUGAAGGCUGCCCUCUCGGAGUUUGUUGCUGCCUCCUUGUCCAAAAGGACCUAAGAUAAU
rnacentral:lncRNA from 1 species